AUUGAACGCUGGCGGCAGGCCUAACACAUGCAAGUCGAACGAGUGCCUGACGGGUGUGUAAUGUCUGGGAAACUGCCUGAUGGAGGGUCAUACCUUCUGGCCACGGUAGCUAAUACCGCCUACCAUCGGACGUGCCCAGUCGGCGUUAGCUAGUAGGUGGGGUAAAGGCUCACCUAGGCGACGAUCCCUAGCUGGUCGUAGAGGAUGACCAGCCAGACUGGAACUGAGACACGGUCCAGACUCCUACGGGGGGCAGCAGUGGGGAAUAUUGCACAAUGGGCGAAAGCCUGAUGCAGACAUGCCGGGAGUAUGAAGAAGGCCUGCGGGUUGUAAGGUACUUUCAGCGGGGAGGCGUUACCCGCGGAAGGAGCACCGACUAACUCCGUGCACGCCGCCGCGGUAAUUC
rnacentral:rRNA from 1 species